rnacentral:rRNA from 1 species
GCGUAAAGAGCUCGUAGGUGGUUCGUCACGUCGGAUGUGAAACCCUGGGGCUUAUUCCCAGACCUGCAUUCGAUACGGGCGAGCUUGAGUAUGGUAGGGGAGUCUGGAAUUCCUGGUGUAGCGGUGGAAUGCGCAGAUAUCAGGAGGAACACCAAUGGCGAAGGCAGGACUCUGGGCCAUUACUGACACUGAGGAGCGAAAGCGUGGGGAGCGAACAGGAUUAGAUACCCUGGUAGUCCACGCCGUAAACGGUGGGCACUAGUUGUGGGGACCUUCCACGGUCUCUGCGACGCAGCUAACGCAUUAAGUGCCCCGCCUGGGGAGUACGAUCGCAAGAUUAAAACUCAAAGGAAUUGACGGGGCCCCGCACAAGCAGCGGAGCAUGCGGCUUAAUUCGACGCAACGCGAAGAACCUUACCAAGGCUUGACAUAUACAGGAAUAUGGCAGAGAUGUCAUAGCCGCAAGGUCUGUAUACAGGUGGUGCAUGGUUGUCGUCAGCUCGUGUCGUGAGAUGUUGGGUUAAGUC